UUUCAUUGAUUCCAGUGAACAACCCCUUUCUAGUGAUGUUGCUGAAAGUAUGAUUGAACAUAUGAGGUCAUUGGCGUCUCAACUACGUCUGUAUGUUCCGUUUGGUCUUGAAAAUAACGACUGGAUGAAAAAUCCCUUUGUAGACUCUGAACUUGAACUUCCUUCUGCCGAGGAAGAGCAACUUAUCGAGCUGUCCUGUGAUUCGGCGUUCAAAUUGCUGUUUCCUUCGUUACCGUUACUGGAGUUUUGGUUCCAAGCUAGGUCUGUUUGCCCUGAAAUUUCCAAAAUGGCUGUAAAACAUCUGUUGCCAUUUCCCACUACAUAUCUGUGCGAGACAACAUUUUCUCAUCUUGUACACAUGAAAAACAGAUAUAGGAACAGACUUAACGUGGAGCCAGAUCUACGUCUGAAAUUAUCCAGUUUUGAUCCUGACAUUCGACAGUUGACAUCUGAAAAACAGCAACAGCCAUCACAUUAGGUCAUACUGCGUCAAACAGAGGGAGUCAUCAGGGCUGUUACGAGUGGUUGCCGUCCCUGAACAUAAGGCCAUAGCCAACGAGGCAGCCCACCAGAUUCAGGGACGGCAGGGGCUGGGCCACGAUAAUCAAGGGCGCCAGGGGCCGGCCCACGAUAAUCAGGUAAGCCAUGGGCCGGGCCGCGAUAAUCAGGUACGCCAGGGGCCGGACCGCGAGAAUCAGGUACACAAGGGGCAGGACUGAAUCAGGGACGUAACGGGCCAGACCGCGAGAAUGAGGGACGCAACGGGCCUGACCGCGAGAAUCGGGGGCUCCAGGGGCCAGACUGCGAGAAUCAGGGACGCCAGGGGCCGGACCGCGAGAGGCAGGGACACCAACCUAAGGC